UGUUGUCACACUGUGUCAUGGUUCUGUGUGUGUCUGAGUUUGCAGGUAGGGUUGAGCAGGUUGCCAUGGGGAUGGAGGGCGGAGGCUGGAGCCACAAUUGAUCCCACCUGCAGCGCAUCAGCACCUUCGUUAGCCAGCCUUCCUCCCAGCUAUUUAGGAUCAUGCAGGAGCUCCAGUCUUCGCCAGAUUGUCAUUCAAUUAAGCGUGACUAAGACCUUGAUCCCCUCAGUUAACCUCAGCACCCAGGAUUUGGACUACUCCUCGCAUCAAGCUACCUGCCUGCCUGCUCGCCCUGCCUGCAACCAAGCUCACAACACCAUCCACAGAUAACAUCUCCUGGUUCACCCCUCCACAAAGAGUUG